rnacentral:sRNA from 1 species
UCCAAAAAAAAAGGUCUAAUUUUUGGUAAAUUUUAAAAAAUGUUGCGAGAGGUCAACCUUUUGCAAUGUUUAAAAAAUGUUGUGAAAAGUCUACCUUUUGCAACGUUCAUAAAACGUUGCCAUGGCAACGUUUUAUGAACGUUGCAAAAGGUAAACUUUUCGCAACAUUUUUUAAGUGUUGCAAAAAAUUAAACUUUUCGCAACAUUUCAA